GUAGGUGAACCUGCGGAAGGAUCAUUACAAUUCAGUAGCUUGCUACUGUCGGGAGGUGCUGUAAGUCCGCAUAGUUUAAUUACUGAUGGGCGGCUGGCCCUCUGUCUGGACCCUUGUCUUUUGCGCACUCAUGUUUCCUCGGUGGGCUUGCCCGCCGAUUGGACAAAACUUAUAACCUUUUUAAUUUUCAAUCAGCGUCUGAAAAAACUUAAUAAUUACAACUUUCAACAACGGAUCUCUUGGUUCUG
rnacentral:misc_RNA from 1 species